AGAGUUUGAUCCUGGCUCAGAGCGAACGCUGGCGGCAGGCCUAACACAUGCAAGUCGAACGAUCCUUCGGGAUAGUGGCGGACGGGUGAGUAACACGUGGGAACGUGCCUUUUGGUUCGGAACAACUCAGGGAAACUUGAGCUAAUACCGAAUGUGCCCUUCGGGGGAAAGAUUUAUCGCCAUUAGAGCGGCCCGCGUCUGAUUAGCUAGUUGGUGAGGUAAUGGCUCACCAAGGCGACGAUCAGUAGCUGGUCUGAGAGGAUGAUCAGCCACACUGGGACUGAGACACGGCCCAGACUCCUACGGGAGGCAGCAGUGGGGAAUCUUGCGCAAUGGGCGAAAGCCUGACGCAGCCAUGCCGCGUGAAUGAUGAAGGUCUUAGGAUUGUAAAAUUCUUUCACCGGGGACGAUAAUGACGGUACCCGGAGAAGAAGCUCCGGCUAACUUCGUGCCAGCAGCCGCGGUAAUACGAAGGGGGCUAGCGUUGCUCGGAAUUACUGGGCGUAAAGGGCGCGUAGGCGGACAGCUUAGUCAGAGGUGAAAGCCCAGGG
rnacentral:rRNA from 1 species